rnacentral:rRNA from 1 species
CAGUCGCCGCGGGAAUACGAAGGGGGCUAGCGUUGUUCGGAUUAACUGGGCGUAAAGGGUGCGUAGGCGGGUCUUUAAGUCAGAGGUGAAAUCCCAAGGCUCAACCUUGGAACUGCCUUUGAUACUGGGGAUCUUGAGUCCGGGAGAGGUGAGUGGAACUGCGAGUGUAGAGGUGAAAUUCGUAGAUAUUCGCAAGAACACCAGUGGCGAAGGCGGCUCACUGGCCCGAAACUGACGCUGAGGCACGAAAGCGUGGGGAGCAAACAGGAUUAGAUACCCCCGUAGUCCCUGUCUCUUAUAC